UGCACUUACCUGUUCUUAAUUAUCAUUUUAAGUGUGAAUUUUAUCAUUUUUUUUUAAUUGUAUUUUAUUUUGAAAACCCAGAAACCGGAUCUCACCCUAACGUUUAGAAGCUGCUAAGGCUUCCGCUCCUCACAGCGCGCGCUUGCACUGUGAGGGAGCUACAAUUGCCGGUACCACCAGAAGACACCUGUUGAAUGUGUUUUAUGUCUUCUGCAGAAGUAAACUGUGAAAAGCCAACCCUUCUGAGCGUCUGUGA